rnacentral:lncRNA from 1 species
UAAGCAUCAGGUUACUGUAUUACACAGAGAUACUUACAAAUGACAACAUAUCAUUGCACUGAUAUUUACAAUCAAAUAUAUACCUGGGAUUUACAUUAUUACAUUUUUAUUCUAUGAAGUACAUGCCCAGCUAAAUACCCCUCAAGGAAGAGGGAUGUCUCGACUCCACUCGCAUUUCUCCCUUAUCAAAUAUAUACCUGGGAUUUACAUUAUUACAUUUUUAUUCUAUGAAGUACAUGCCCAGCUAAAUACCCCUCAAGGAAGAGGGAUGUCUCGACUCCACUCGCAUUUCGCAAGGGAGAAAGACGUUAUAACAAUCUCCACACAAUUAUAACUAAUUGAGGUAGUUUGAGUCCGUGGGGACUCGAACCAUUGCCCUCAUAGUUAUGCUUGACUUUAAGAGCAAUGGUUCACCACCGGGCCACAAGC